rfam:Citrus clementina cultivar Clemenules unplaced genomic scaffold scaffold_2, whole genome shotgun sequence.
GGGCUUAUGAUGAAAAAUUAAAAUUAUCUUAGCGGAUUUCAGUGAGGCUUUUUUGGCCAAUGAUCUGAUUGUUACACACACUGAAGCCU